CUUAUAUAUCUUAUAUAUCUUAUAUAUCUUAUAUCUUUCUCUACUAUUUUAGUUCUAUUUUUUAUUUAGUUCUAUUUUAGUUUUUAGUUCUAUUUCUGCAAACCUGACUCGGUGAUAGAUCAAGAAAAUAACAGCAGUGGGACCGAACUUUGUGGAUUUCUGAGCAUUUUUAACCCUGCUGGACACCAAAAAAUGCAGUGGCUGGAGCUUCAGUUGGGUGGAAGAAAAUCAAUUUAUUUGGGGAUGGUCAGGGCAUGAAAAACCCUCAGAACAGCAGAAAAAUUGAGGAACCUCAGCCAGGAAUCUUUCCUGAAAAUGUUCCAGAAACUUCUUCAGGUUUAUUGAUUUAUUUUACCCCCCCUGAUUCUCCAAGGCCGAGGUUUUUGGAGCAUCCCUGGGGUUUGGAGUCUCCAUCUCCCUCCAAAGUGGAAAUCAGAGAAAUUCCUUGUCUGGAACUCAGGAAAAGCCUUGGCCAGGGAGGGAAUCCCAGGAAAAUCCUGCAAAAAUUCUCUCUGGAGGAUGAGGAAGGUGAGGAAGGUGAGGAAGGUCUUGGAGAAGCUUUGGGGUUUGAUUGACCCCAGCCUUUGGGUACCCACACAAUAAAACACCUCCUGAAAAUCAAACUUUUCCCUCUCUAUUCCUCCUAUUUUUUUCUCUUUUUUCUCCUUUUUUUUUUCUUUUUUUUUUUCAUUUUUCCCCUCUCCCUUUCCUCCUACUGCAGGGAAAAUUCAUUUAUAUUCUAUAAAAUAUCAAUUUCUAAGCUCUUUUUCAUGCAAAAUCCGGUGUUUUCAGGAGCUCCAUUGAAGGUUAAGNGCCCUAAAAUCCAUAUUAAUUUACCCAUUCCUAGAGCCACUCCUGAACUUUCUCCUUUAAUUCCAGAAGUCACAAAUCCAGGGUUCCUGAGGUUUAUUUGGAUUAGUGACCACAAAACCAACCAAAAAAAACCCAACAAAAAACCAAAAACCAAGAGCAGAGACAGAAGCCCUAAAAUCUAUAUUAAUUUACCCAUUCCUAGAGCCACUCCUGAGCUUUCUCCUUUAAUUCCAGAGUCACAAAUCCAGGGUUUAUGGGGGAGAAGUGGCAACAAAACCAUCAAAAAAAACCCCAAAAAAACAAAAAAACCCCAAGAGCAGAGACAGAAGCCCUAAAAUCUAUAUUAAUUUGAAAUGAAUUAAUUUCAAAUUUCGAGGGCCGCUCUCGUUGUUCCUGCAGUUUCCUCCAGCUGAAGGAACCCUGCCAUCCUUUAGGAACUCAUAAAUACACAGAGACACUAGAAAUUUUAUAUAUAUAUAUAUAUAUUUUGCAUAUUAAUAUUACAUGAUCAUCUCGUUGGAGGGGGGAAAAAAAUAAAAAGCUGGAGCUCCAUCUUCUCCCCUUCA
rnacentral:lncRNA from 1 species